rnacentral:rRNA from 1 species
UACACUCCUACGGGAGGCAGCAGUGGGGAAUUUUGGACAAUGGGCGAAAGCCUGAUCCAGCAAUGCCGCGUGAGUGAAGAAGGCCUUCGGGUUGUAAAGCUCUUUUGUCAGGGAAGAAACGGUGAAAGCUAAUAUCUUUUGCUAAUGACGGUACCUGAAGAAUAAGCACCGGCUAACUACGUGCCAGCAGCCGCGGUAAUACGUAGGGUGCAAGCGUUAAUCGGAAUUACUGGGCGUAAAGCGUGCGCAGGCGGUUUUGUAAGUCUGAUGUGAAAUCCCCGGGCUCAACCUGGGAAUUGCAUUGGAGACUGCAAGGCUAGAAUCUGGCAGAGGGGGGUAGAAUUCCACGUGUAGCAGUGAAAUGCGUAGAUAUGUGGAGGAACACCGAUGGCGAAGGCAGCCCCCUGGGUCAAGAUUGACGCUCAUGCACGAAAGCGUGGGGAGCAAACAGGAUUAGAUACCCCAGUAGUCCCAU